rnacentral:rRNA from 1 species
GGUUAAGCGACUAAGCGUACACGGUGGAUGCCCUGGCAGUCAGAGGCGAUGAAGGACGUGCUAAUCUGCGAAAAGCGUCGGUAAGGUGAUAUGAACCGUUAUAACCGGCGAUGUCCGAAUGGGGAAACCCAGUGUGAUUCGUCACACUAUCGUUAACUGAAUACAUAGGUUAACGAGGCGAACCGGGGGAACUGAAACAUCUAAGUACCCCGAGGAAAAGAAAUCAACCGAGAUUCCCCCAGUAGCGGCGAGCGAACGGGGAGCAGCCCAGAGUCUGAAUCAGCUUGUGUGUUAGUGGAACGGUCUGGAAAGUCCGACGGUACAGGGUGAUAGUCCCGUACACCAAAAUGCACAGGCUGUGAACUCGAAGAGUAGGGCGGGACACGUGGUAUCCUGUCUGAAUAUGGGGGGACCAUCCUCCAAGGCUAAAUACUCCUGACUGACCGAUAGUGAACCAGUACCGUGAGGGAAAGGCGAAAAGAACCCGGCGAGGGGAGUGAAAAAGAACCUGAAACCGUGUACGUACAAGCAGUGGGAGCACCUUCGGGUGUGACUGCGUACCUUUUGUAUAAUGGGUCAGCGACUUAUAUUCUGUAGCAAGGUUAACCGUAUAGGGGAGCCGCAGGGAAACCGAGUCUUAACUGGGCGUUAAGUUGCAGGGUAUAGACCCGAAACCCGGUGAUCUAGCCAUGGGCAGGUUGAAGGUUGGGUAACACUAACUGGAGGACCGAACCGACUAAUGUUGAAAAAUUAGCGGAUGACUUGUGGCUGGGGGUGAAAGGCCAAUCAAACCGGGAGAUAGCUGGUUCUCCCCGAAAGCUAUUUAGGUAGCGCCUCGUGAACUCAUCUUCGGGGGUAGAGCACUGUUUCGGCUAGGGGGUCAUCCCGACUUACCAACCCGAUGCAAACUACGAAUACCGAAGAAUGUUAUCACGGGAGACACACGGCGGGUGCUAACGUCCGUCGUGAAGAGGGAAACAACCCAGACCGCCAGCUAAGGUCCCAAAGUCAUGGUUAAGUGGGAAACGAUGUGGGAAGGCACAGACAGCCAGGAUGUUGGCUUAGAAGCAGCCAUCAUUUAAAGAAAGCGUAAUAGCUCACUGGUCGAGUCGGCCUGCGCGGAAGAUGUAACGGGGCUAAACCAUGCACCGAAGCUGCGGCAGCGACACUAUGUGUUGUUGGGUAGGGGAGCGUUCUGUAAGCCUGCGAAGGUGACCUGUGAGGGUUGCUGGAGGUAUCAGAAGUGCGAAUGCUGACAUAAGUAACGAUAAAGCGGGUGAAAAGCCCGCUCGCCGGAAGACCAAGGGUUCCUGUCCAACGUUAAUCGGGGCAGGGUGAGUCGACCCCUAAGGCGAGGCCGAAAGGCGUAGUCGAUGGGAAACAGGUUAAUAUUCCUGUACUUGGUGUUACUGCGAAGGGGGGACGGAGAAGGCUAUGUUAGCCGGGCGACGGUUGUCCCGGUUUAAGCAUGUAGGCUGGUUAUCCAGGCAAAUCCGGAUAAUCAAGGCUGAGGUGUGAUGACGAGGCACUACGGUGCUGAAGUAACAAAUGCCCUGCUUCCAGGAAAAGCCUCUAAGCAUCAGGUAACAUCAAAUCGUACCCCAAACCGACACAGGUGGUCAGGUAGAGAAUACCAAGGCGCUUGAGAGAACUCGGGUGAAGGAACUAGGCAAAAUGGUGCCGUAACUUCGGGAGAAGGCACGCUGGUGUGUAGGUGAAGCCCCUGCGGGUGGAGCUGAGACCAGUCGAAGAUACCAGCUGGCUGCAACUGUUUAUUAAAAACACAGCACUGUGCAAACACGAAAGUGGACGUAUACGGUGUGACGCCUGCCCGGUGCCGGAAGGUUAAUUGAUGGGGUUAUCCGUAAGGAGAAGCUCUUGAUCGAAGCCCCGGUAAACGGCGGCCGUAACUAUAACGGUCCUAAGGUAGCGAAAUUCCUUGUCGGGUAAGUUCCGACCUGCACGAAUGGCGUAAUGAUGGCCAGGCUGUCUCCACCCGAGACUCAGUGAAAUUGAACUCGCUGUGAAGAUGCAGUGUACCCGCGGCAAGACGGAAAGACCCCGUGAACCUUUACUAUAGCUUGACACUGAACAUUGAGCCUUGAUGUGUAGGAUAGGUGGGAGGCUUUGAAGCGUGGACGCCAGUCUGCGUGGAGCCAACCUUGAAAUACCACCCUUUAAUGUUUGAUGUUCUAACGUUGGCCCCUGACCGGGGUUGCGGACAGUGUCUGGUGGGUAGUUUGACUGGGGCGGUCUCCUCCCAAAGCGUAACGGAGGAGCACGAAGGUUAGCUAAUCCUGGUCGGACAUCAGGAGGUUAGUGCAAUGGCAUAAGCUAGCUUGACUGCGAGCGUGACGGCGCGAGCAGGUGCGAAAGCAGGUCAUAGUGAUCCGGUGGUUCUGAAUGGAAGGGCCAUCGCUCAACGGAUAAAAGGUACUCCGGGGAUAACAGGCUGAUACCGCCCAAGAGUUCAUAUCGACGGCGGUGUUUGGCACCUCGAUGUCGGCUCAUCACAUCCUGGGGCUGAAGUAGGUCCCAAGGGUAUGGCUGUUCGCCAUUUAAAGUGGUACGCGAGCUGGGUUUAGAACGUCGUGAGACAGUUCGGUCCCUAUCUGCCGUGGGCGCUGGAGAAUUGAGGGGGGCUGCUCCUAGUACGAGAGGACCGGAGUGGACGCAUCACUGGUGUUCGGGUUGUCAUGCCAAUGGCACUGCCCGGUAGCUAAAUGCGGAAGAGAUAAGUGCUGAAAGCAUCUAAGCACGAAACUUGCCCCGAGAUGAGUUCUCCUGAGACUUUAAGUCUCCUGAAGGAACGUUGAAGACGACGACGUUGAUAGGCCGGGUGUGUAAGCGCAGCGAUGCGUUGAGCUAACCGGUACUAAUGAACCGUGAGGCUUAACCUU